rnacentral:rRNA from 1 species
UACGUAGGGGGCAAGCGUUGUCCGGAAUCAUUGGGCGUAAAGAGCGUGUAGGCGGCUCGAUAAGUCUGCUGUGAAAGUCCAGGGCUCAACCCUGGAAGGCCGGUGGAAACUGUCGGGCUAGAGUCCGGAAGAGGCGAGUGGAAUUCCCGGUGUAGCGGUGAAAUGCGCAGAUAUCGGGAGGAACACCAGUGGCGAAGGCGCCUUCCUGGCCUGUAACUGACGCUGAUACGCGAAAGCGUGGGGAGCAAACCGG